AUUCACUUUACUUGUAUUGAUAGUCGUGUUCAAUUUAAAUACCAACUCUGUCAUUCCCGCAGCUCUUUCUCCUGGUGGGGGGUCUGACUGCGCAGACACCAGAUGAGGAUGGCAUCAUCCUGUCUGAACUGUACAACACCCCAGCAGAGGAUCUGCAAGAUGCUGUGGCGCCCGUGCGUGCCAAGCGUUUCUUUCUUGGCCAUCUCUUUAGGUUGGGAACUCGUAUAGCAGGCAAGAUCUUGCGUCAUUAUCCUCACCAGGACCAUGAAUAGGGAGCACUGCAACAGUAUCCCCCCUCACAUGUGCACCGCCACACCUGUGAGCCGACAGUGAAGCAUCGAGGCAUCUCAACUCCACUCGUUCAGAGUGAGAAUCUGUGAAAUCAUCACAAUGCCGCCGAAACUCUCCUGUUUGUGAAGAAAUAAAGAAAUUCUGCAGCAUUUACCUCUCUGUGCU
rnacentral:lncRNA from 1 species